rnacentral:rRNA from 1 species
GCCUAACACAUGCAAGUCGAACGCGAGAGGGGAGCAAUCCCUGAUUGAGUGGCAAACGGGUGAGUAACACGUGGGUGACCUGCCUUCGAGUGGGGGAUAACGUCCCGAAAGGGACGCUAAUACCGCAUGACAUCCUGCUUUUGGAAAAGCGGACAUUAAAGCUGGGGAUCGCAAGACCUGGCGCUUGAAGAGGGGCCCGCGCCUGAUUAGCUAGUUGGUGAGGUAACGGCUCACCAAGGCGACGAUCAGUAUCCGGCCUGAGAGGGCGGACGGACACACUGGGACUGAGACACGGCCCAGACUCCUACGGGAGGCAGCAGUGGGGAAUUGUUCGCAAUGGGCGCAAGCCUGACGACGCAACGCCGCGUGGAGGACGAAGAUCUUCGGGUCGUAAACUCCUGUCGAGCGG